GACGAACGCUGGCGGCGUGCUUAACACAUGCAAGUCGAACGGUGAAGCGCUUGCCUUUUUGGUGGGUGUGGAUGAGUGGCGAACGGGUGAGUAACACGUGAGUAACCUGCCCUCUUCUUCUGGAUAACCUCAUGAAAGUGGGGCUAAUACGGGGUAUUCCGGGUCUGUCGCAUGGCGGGUUUGGGAAAGAUUGCGCCUUUGGGUGUUUUCGGUGGGGGAUGGGCUCGCGCCUAUCAGCUUGUUGGUGGGGUGAUGGCCUACCAAGGCGGUGACGGGUAGCCGGCCUGAGAGGGUGGACGGCCACACUGGGACUGAGACACGGCCCAGACUCCUGCGGGAGGCAGCAGUGGGGAAUAUUGCACAAUGGGCGCAAGCCUGAUGCAGCGACGCCGCGUGAGGGAUGGAGGCCUUCGGGUUGUGAACCUCUUUCGCCAGUGAAGCAGGCCUGCUCCUGUGUGGGUGGGUUGACGGUAGCUGGAUAAGAAGCGCCGGCUAACUACGUG
rnacentral:rRNA from 1 species